rnacentral:rRNA from 1 species
CCUACGGGAGGCAGCAGUGGGGAAUAUUGGGCAAUGGGCGCAAGCCUGACCCAGCAACGCCGCGUGAAGGAAGAAGGCCCUCGGGAUGUAAACUUCUUUUAUCAAGGAAGAAAAAAAUGACGGUACUUGAUGAAUACGCCACGGCUAACUACGUGCCAGCAGCCGCGGUAAUACGGAGGUGGCAAGCGUUAUCAGGAUUUACUGGGUGUAAAGGGCGAGUGGGCGGGACUGCAAGUCAGAUGUGAAAACCAUGGGCUCAACCCAUGGCCUGCAUUUGAAACUGUAGUUCUUGAGUGUGGGAGAGGCAGGCGGAAUUCCGGGUGUAGCGGUGAAAUGCGUAGAUAUACGGAGGAACACCAGUGGCGAAGGCGGCCUGCUGGACAAUAACUGACGCUGAGGCGCGAAAGCGUGGGGAGCAAACAGGAUUAGAUACCCUAGUAGUC